ACGGGUGAGUAACGCGUGGGAAUCUACCGUGCCCUGCGGAAUAGCUCCGGGAAACUGGAAUUAAUACCGCAUACGCCCUACGGGGGAAAGAUUUAUCGGGGUAUGAUGAGCCCGCGUUGGAUUAGCUAGUUGGUGGGGUAAAGGCCUACCAAGGCGACGAUCCAUAGCUGGUCUGAGAGGAUGAUCAGCCACAUUGGGACUGAGACACGGCCCAAACUCCUACGGGAGGCAGCAGUGGGGAAUAUUGGACAAUGGGCGCAAGCCUGAUCCAGCCAUGCCGCGUGAGUGAUGAAGGCCUUAGGGUUGUAAAGCUCUUUCACCGGAGAAGAUAAUGACGGUAUCCGGAGAAGAAGCCCCGGCUAACUUCGUGCCAGCAGCCGCGGUAAUACGAAGGGGGCUAGCGUUGUUCGGAAUUACUGGGCGUAAAGCGCACGUAGGCGGAUACUUAAGUCAGGGGUGAAAUCCCAGAGCUCAACUCUGGAACUGCCUUUGAUACUGGGUAUCUUGAGUAUGGAAGAGGUAAGUGGAAUUCCGAGUGUAGAGGUGAAAUUCGUAGA
rnacentral:rRNA from 1 species